rnacentral:lncRNA from 1 species
CCUGGCAGUGCCAUUUCAUCCCUGAGUUCUCAGGAAUGUGUUUGCAGCCACUGAGGGCAUCCUCAAAGCACCCAGUAAUGUGGAUUUUCUUCACUGUGCUUUUACCAGGGCAGAAAAGCUGCAGCUGCUGAANNNNNNNNNNAGUGCAGUGGAGAUCCAGCUGAUGGUGGAAGAAAGCGAGGAGAGGCUGACAGAGGAGCAGAUCGAGUCCCUCCUGCAGACAGUCACCACCAUCCUGCCAGGGGACCCAGAGGAGCAGCACAGGGACUCAGCAAUGGCAGCAGAACACAGAGGAGAUGGACCCUCCUAAUCUUGGAACAGAGAAGGUGGCACUGAGUGGCUCUGGGGGUACAAGAAAGGUAAAUGUGUGUUCUGAGAAGAAACUGAGCACUC